rnacentral:rRNA from 1 species
GUGCACGCUGGCGGUAGGCCUAACCCCUGCAAGUCGCACGGCAGCACAGUAAGAGCUUGCUCUUACGGGUGGCGAGUGGCGGACGGGUGAGGAAUACAUCGGAAUCUACUUUUUCGUGGGGGAUAACGUAGGGAAACUUACGCUAAUACCGCAUACGACCUACGGGUGAAAGCAGGGGAUCUUCGGACCUUGCGCGAUUGAAUGAGCCGAUGUCGGAUUAGCUAGUUGCGGGGUAAAGGCCCACCAAGGCGACGAUCCGUAGCUGGUCUGAGAGGAUGAUCAGCCACACUGGAACUGAGACACGGUCCAGACUCCUACGGGAGGCAGCAGUGGGGAAUAUUGGACAAUGGGCGCAAGCCUGAUCCAGCCAUACCGCGUGGGUGAAGAAGGCCUUCGGGUUGUAAAGCCCUUUUGUUGGGAAAGAAAAGCAGCAGGUUAAUACCCCGCUGUUCUGACGGUACCCAAAGAAUAAGCACCGGCUAACUUCGUG